CGCCGCGUGAGCGAAGAAGGCCUUCGGGUCGUAAAGCUCUGUGUUAGGGAAGAACAAGUACGAGAGUAACUGCUCGUACCUUGACGGUACCUAACCAGAAAGCCACGGCUAACUACGUGCCAGCAGCCGCGGUAAUACGUAGGUGGCAAGCGUUGUCCGGAAUUAUUGGGCGUAAAGCGCGCGCAGGCGGUCCUUUAAGUCUGAUGUGGAAGCCCACGGCUCAACCGUGAGGGUCAUUGGAAACUGGGGGACUUGAGUGCAGAAGAGGAGAGUGGAAUUCCACGUGUAGCGGUGAAAUGCGUAGAGAUGUGGAGGAACACCAGUGGCGAAGGCGACUCUCUGGUCUGUAACUGACGCUGAGGCGCGAAAGCGUGGGGAGCAAACAGGAUUAGAUACCCUGGUAGUCCACGCCGUAAACGAUGAGUGCUAAGUGUUAGAGGGUUUCCGCCCUUUAGUGCUGCAGCUAACGCAUUAAGCACUCCGCCUGGGGAGUACGGCCGCAAGGCUG
rnacentral:rRNA from 1 species